rnacentral:rRNA from 1 species
UACGUAGGGCGCAAGCGUUAUCCGGAAUUAUUGGGCGUAAAGAGCUCGUAGGCGGUUUGUCGCGUCUGCCGUGAAAGUCCGGGGCUCAACUCCGGAUCUGCGGUGGGUACGGGCAGACUAGAGUGAUGUAGGGGAGACUGGAAUUCCUGGUGUAGCGGUGAAAUGCGCAGAUAUCAGGAGGAACACCGGUGGCGAAGGCGGGUCUCUGG